rnacentral:lncRNA from 1 species
GAGUUUUUAGGAGUCGAUGUUAUAUUAGGAAUGAUAUAUUAUUAAUUAUUAAUCAAUAUUAUUAGUAAUAAAUGAAUGAUAACUGAUUUCUAUUGAAGAUCCAUUUUUAGAAAAAUCACACAUGAAUCAAGGUUAUGACUUCUGUUUUAAUAUAUAAGAUAUACAAAAUAAGAAAUGAUAAUAUUGAGCUAAAUUAUUAAAUAUCUAUCUGAAAAAUGUAUUGCAAAAUAAGUGAUAAGUAAAUAUACAAUAUAAAAAAAUAAAAAAUUACAUAAGCAUCAAUUAUAUUAGAAUAAAUAAAUAUAAAAUAAAAUAAUUAAUAAAUAACAAAUAUAAGAAAUAGAAAAAC